CUGGGCGGGGAACCCACUGCUGAUGGUUCACCAUACGCAGCUGGGAUUUCCCUCCCCGCCUUCCUUGUGCUAAAUGGUCAAUUAGGCAUGAUGUUGAUGGGGGCCCCACCUGGGAAUGGAGGUAUAUAGUAGCCUUGGAGUGGCUGGUGGUUCAUUUGCUUGACUCAACCACUAGGAACAACACAUCUGAUCCUGCACACAGGUCACCCUCCCUUGUUGGGAGCCUAGUCACCAAUUUAUGGUACACUAUGCACUUUACGUGCACACAUAACAUUUUGGAUCAGGCUUUGACCACCGUGUCUUACUCCGGGCACUGUUCCUCGUUCUCAUGGGUUCCCCGUUUCAACCCCGGGGGAGACAUCCUGCCCGGACCCCCCUUCUUUCCUUGGCAGAUACCGGACCGGGUCUUGUGGUGGCAUAUAUACUGUCCUAAAAACACUCCUGAUGAUUGGCUGAAAUGCCAGGAAACGCGUAGAGUGCCCCCA